AAUUUUUCCACGCUUUAUCUGUUAGUUCGCCUUCUGGGACCUAGCCUGGCUCCAGCUAUUAAGGCAGUCCAAGGAAUAUAGUUUCCAGCCUUCCAACCCCUGCAAUACAAGCAGAGGGCAGGGUGGGAAUGGGGUUUAGUAGAAGCAGACACUCUUUGGCAUAUUAUCAUGAAAGAUAAACGAAGCAAGGACGCCAAUAUAUAUAAUACAGUUGAAACCCAGCAUCUUUUGUGUAUUUUCUCACUUACUUCAAUCAAACUAUGUUAUAGAGCCACUUUAUUCAUUCCAAAGUACAAGGUUGAUCAUCUCAAUGUAACUCACUGUAGUUACCACCGGGAUUUUACAUUACUUACCAAAAAUGUUGAAUAUUUGCAUAUGGUUAAUGCUAAUUUAUACCCCUUUGUGUGAUUUAAGUGAUUCCAUUGUUUAAUUUAUUUGUAAUAACAUCUCAUAGAAUAAGAUUAUAUUCCCUUUGUUACAAUUAUUGCAAAUAUUUUCCCUAGUGCUUUAGUUUUACAUUUUACAGGGUAGAGAAGCUUUUUAAAUUUAUGCAAUCAAAUAUAUCAAUAUAUUUCUUUGGAGUAUCAACAUUUGAUUUGAUACUUAGAAAAGCGUCUCCUAACAAGAUUAUAUAACUUUUGCUCUUAUUUUGUGUUGUUAUUUAUGGUCUUAACUUUUUAAAACAUGAUUUAUUUUGAUGAAUGAUGAGAAGUAGAUAGAUUCCUUUUUGCCUUUCCCCAAAUAAUUAGCCACUGUCCUCAUUUUAUCAAGUGAUUUUUUCAGGCACGAAUGUCAAUAUAAGCAUACUUUCUUCCUCAAACUAUUAGCAUGAAAUAUAAUAGUUUAAUAUAUUGAUUAGUGUUGAAUCAUACAAUUUAUUGAUUUUUCUGUUAAUAUAAAUAAAUUCUUUGAGAUCUACAUCUUAAGUAUCAUAGUGUUUUGGGUUUGGUUGCUAGAAAAUAAUUCAUUUUAAAUUACACAAGUAAUACAAAUUUAGUGCAGAAACAAAGAUACAUAAUAGAAACAAAGAAGGAAAGGCAAUAAUCACUGUUAGGUUUUCAUGUCACAUCCUUCCAUCUUUCUAGGCUGUUGUUUUCAACUUUUUUUUUUUUCAAAAUAUUGUGCUUCUUGAUUUGUAAAUGAUUUUUUUUAAUUAAGCAAUAUGACAGGAAUAUUUAUAUAGCUAUCUAUACUAUCAAAUGCAAUCGUGUACUCCAGUUUAUUCAACCAAUAGCACAAUGUCUAAUUCAGGCAUGUUUUCCAAAUGUUGCUUUUAUUAAUAAUAAUAUGAUAAGAUUUUUAAAAUCUUAAUCUUUGGGAAAAGCUAUUUUGAUUUUAAGAAGCUAAAACAUGGAAUAUCUGGGGAAUUCUAAUGCUUUUCCCCUUCAUUCUGCCUAGCACGCCUCAACCAAGUCAUCUUCCUAAACGUUGCUUUCAACUGAGGAAAAACGUAUAUGCAGUGAGGUGCGUAAGUCUUAAAUGUUCUGCAUUUGAGAAUUUACUUAAAUGUACAUCCAUGUAACUACCACACAGAUCAACAUACGCAACAGUUUCAGAAGGCUCAGUCCUCUGGUCCAGUCAGUAUCUCACCCACCCGCUGGGUUCUCUCUCAGCUUCCCUGCCUUGCCUCCCUCCUCUUUAGCUGGCAGCUUCAAGUGCUCUUAGGCUUCUCAUGUGCUUCUCUCAGCACUCCUCUCCUGCCCUUCACACCCAACUCCCAGCUAUUCUGGGGAAGGGGGAGCUGAGUCAGCACUACUUUUCUACCCACUCCCCAUCCCCUGCAACUUUAGCAUUCUUCCCAUGGGCUCAGCGAAGCCCUGGGGAGUGAGUGGAGGAGGAGAUGGGUUCUUGCUCUCUGUCUGGGCUUUGCCAACUUCUACCAGGUCACUCCACGCCAGCCGUUGCAGAGUCCACUCAAAGCCGCUGCAGGAACUCGGCUGCUCCAGAUGUCUUUUCUUUCUUCUAAAAGGUGCCUCACUGUCCCUCAGUCCUCCUAGAAGUAUUCAAAAACCAUGAGAUUUGAGCUUCUCAGGCUUCUCAGGUUCAUCAGGGUGAAGGCCACAGCCUUGCAAUUUUCUACAUCUGAACCAGAUGUACAACUCCUGCCCUAGUUUUUUUUAAAUUAUUAUUUUUAUUGAAUUAUAUCAUUCAUACAUGAAGAGAAAUAAACAAUAAGUAUAUAGUGAAAGUUGUGAACGGACAAAAUAAACAUGUAUAACCUUGUACAGGGGUCCCGCCCAUCACUCCACCACCAACACCUUGCAUCGUUGUGAGACACAUCUUACAAAACAAUGCAAGGGCAUUGCUAAAUAUUACUACUGACUAUAGUCCAUAUUUUACAUUUGGUGUAUUUUGCCCUAGUAUAUUUAAUCUUGGGAAUUAAUGUAUUAUCAGGUUGUCUAUGCACCUAUGGUUACAGUUUCUCUCUCACGUAUAAUGCUGGAAACAGUGUAUUAUCUCUCUUAUUUCACUGAUGAUGCUUGCCAGAAUUUGAUGUGUUGUAUCAUUUUUCAUAAAAUUUCAGCUAUUGAGUAAACCAUUUAUACUCUGACUUUCUUCCUCAUAUUGUAUUAGCCCAUUCUGUCUUUCUUAAAGUCGUUGCUUCUAGUUUGGUCAUAUUUGCUGCGUUGCUCUUUUAUAAUUUUAUUGAAAAUUAACGUUUUUAUAAGCUUUCAAAAUAAAAGCAUGCAAAGCUCUGAAAUUUCUCCCAGUUAAACCUUUGCUCUCAUGCCAUGGCUUUGAAAUAAAAAAGUUUGCAUAGACCUUAUUGAUAAAUGGCUUUUAAUCACAGUUCGAUUUGUACUUUCAUGAAAUAGUUAUUUAGCAGAAUGCUUUUUUCCCC
rnacentral:lncRNA from 1 species